UACAGAAAGAGAAUCGAAACCAGAUGAUCAACAAAUUUUCGAGGCUAAAGACCUAGAUGGAACGUAAGUGCGGAUCGACGCACAAGACACGGACGGACCUUGUCCUCUCGUCGCUGUCGGAACUUCAUGUUUUAUUUCAAUUUGGGAUCUUACUUGGAAUUUGUUGUCGUUAAUGGAAUUAGGAAUCGGCCACAACAACAACGUGACCAAGGAGACUAGUCAAAGUUAGCACAACAUUGUUUGUCUAACGCCAGAGCUUGGAGUUUUCCACCUUCUUGAAAUUCCACUUUAUCAUGGAUGGAUGGUUGAUCCACAGGAUUCUGAUACUGCAAAGGCGUUCGGAUCGAAGCCUUACAACGCACUUCUUGAAGAGGUUGCUAACUACCACGCAAGAAAUGCCCGGGGAGAAGAAAAGAAUGUCCUACAAGAAGAUUGUGGUGACCAUCAGAAGGGAAAAGGAGACUAAGAAGAAGAAGAAGCUCUCUUAAAUGCCUUGGAGUUGUGUGGUAUAAUACCUGGAACGACCAUCAGUCAUACAUCUGCACAUUCAGCUGAUCACGGACUAUUCCAUAAUACUAGGUCUGGUGUCCAGCUAGAACCAUCUCUAUCACAGGAUUCUAGUGCCUUUAGCAGUUGCUACACAGGCAGGCUAUCUCAAUGAAUCAAUUGGAACAAAUUCUUCAGUUUCAGAAUCUGCUGAUUUGGUAAUUUCUAGCAAUCAGGUUGUGAGAAUAACUGAAGACAGACUGUUUCAGAAUCAAAGCCAGGGCUUACUCACUAUUUCUUUGGACGAGGAUUCUUCAUCUGCAUUUAAGGACCAAAUAAGUGGGCCAGGAGGGAGCUCAAAGUAUAUGCCCCAUAGCAUGAAUCUGGGUAUUGCAUCUAGAUGAAGUAGGUCGCCAUAGUGCUUGCGGUACAACUGUGAUUCUUGGUCCAUCUGCAACUCUUAGUGUCAACUCAAGCAUGAAUGGCAGAGAACCUAUCCUUGAUGGUGAAGAGUACAUACUUGAUUGAAGAAUGAAACCUGAUGAAACUUUAGGACCUGUAUAUGAAGGUGAGGUGGUUGUGGCCAAGCAAGUUGAAAAAGGCAGAGAAAAUGAUUGUGACAUAAAUCUUUCUCCUUUCAUUACUAGAGCAAAAAGUAUUAGGUUGCUUGUGGUCUGUUUGACCGUGAUACCUUCUUCUUUGACCAUAACAUCUUAUUUCGUGCAUUUCGGUGAAACAGUUCCUUACAUUUUUUCUUCUU